UGGGGAAUAUUGGGCAAUGGGCGCAAGCCUGACCCAGCGACGUCGCGUGGGUGAUGAAGGCCUUCGGGUUGUAAAGUCCUGUCAUGUGGAAAGAACAGUCCCGUGGUGAAUAUCCACGGGAUUUGACGGUACCACAGGAGGAAGCACCGGCUAACUCCGUGCCAGCAGCCGCGGUAAUACGGAGGGUGCAAGCGUUGUUCGGAAUUAUUGGGCGUAAAGGGCGCGUAGGCGGUUGUGAAAGUCAGAUGUGAAAUACUUCGGCUCAACUGAAGAACUGCAUCUGAAACUCCAUAACUCGAGUACAGGAGAGGGAAACGGAAUUCCCGGUGUAGAGGUGAAAUUCGUAGAUAUCGGGAGGAACACCAGUGGCGAAGGCGGUUUCCUGGCCUGAUACUGACGCUGAGGCGCGAAAGCGUGGGGAGCAAACAG
rnacentral:rRNA from 1 species